rfam:Oryza meridionalis cultivar OR44 (W2112) chromosome 3, whole genome shotgun sequence.
UUUAAGUGUAAUCAUAAGUUUUCGUGUCCAACUUUGAUCAUCCGUCUUAUUUGAUUUUUUUAAAUUAGUAUUUUUGUUGUUAUGAGAUGAUAAAAUAUGAAUAAUACUUUAUAUGUGACUUAUGUUUUAAUUUUUUAAAAAAGUUUUUAAAUAAAAUAGACUAUCAAAGUUGCGCAUAGAAAAUUAUGACUGCAUUUAAA